UACGUAGGCAGCGAGCGUUGUUCGGAAUUACUGGGCGGAAAGAGUGUGUAGGCGGUGCUCUAAGUUCGGUGUGAAAUCUCCUGGCUCAACUGGGAGGGUGCGCCGGAAACUGGAGUGCUUGAGCGUGGGAGAGGAAAGCGGAAUUCCACGUGUAGCGGUGAAAUGCGUAGAGAUGUGGAGGAACACCAGUGGCGAAGGCGGCUUUCUGGUCUGUAACUGACGCUGAGGCGCGAAAGCGUGGGGAGCAAACAGG
rnacentral:rRNA from 1 species